CGUUGAAGCAGCGGUUCCCGUACGAUCACGGAAGUUAAGCAACGUUGAGCCUAGUCACUAACUAGAUAGGUGACCGCUUGAUAAUACCAAGUGCUGUAAGC